rnacentral:rRNA from 1 species
UACAGAGGGUGCGAGCGUUGUCCGGAAUCACUGGGCGUAAAGGGCGCGUAGGUGGUGGCUUAAGCGUGCGGUGAAAGCUCGGGGCUCAACCCCGAGUCGGCCGUGCGAACUGGGCUCACUGGAGCAUAGUAGAGGCAGGUGGAAUUCCGGGUGUAGCGGUGGAAUGCGUAGAGAUCCGGAGGAACACCAACGGCGUAGGCAGCGCCCUAGACGAGACCUGACGCUCAGGCACGAAAGCGCGGGGAGCGAACAGG